GGGUGCGAUCAUACCAGCACUAAUGCACCGGAUCCCAUCAGAACUCCGCAGUUAAGCGUGCUUGGGCGAGAGUUGUACUAGGAUGGGUGACCUCCUGGGAAGUCCUCGUGUUGCACCCCCCU
rnacentral:rRNA from 1 species